rnacentral:rRNA from 1 species
GACGAACGCUGGCGGCGUGCCUAACACAUGCAAGUCGAACGGGGUCAUCCCUUCGGGGAUGACUUAGUGGCGAACGGGUGAGUAACGCGUGAGUAACCUGCCUUUCAGUGGGGGACAACAGUUGGAAACGACUGCUAAUACCGCAUGACAUAUCUGGACCGCAUGAUCCGGAUAUCAAAGCUUUAUGUGCUGAAAGAUGGACUCGCGUCUGAUUAGCUAGAUGGCGGGGUAACGGCCCACCAUGGCGACGAUCAGUAGCCGGUCUGAGAGGAUGAACGGCCACAUUGGGACUGAGAUACGGCCCAG